rnacentral:rRNA from 1 species
UACGGAGGGUGCAAGCAUUAAUCGGAUUUAUUGGGCGUAAAGGGCGCGUAGGCGGGGAUGAAAGUCAGAUGUGAAAUCCCGGGGCUCAACCUCGGAACUGCAUUUGAAACUCCAUUUCUUGAGGGUGGGCGGAGAAAACAGAAUUCCACGUGUAGCGGUGAAAUGCGUAGAUAUGUGGAAGAAUACCGGUGGCGAAGGCGGUUUUCUAGCUUACACCUGACGCUGAGGCGCGAAAGCAAGGGGAU